UUUUAGAUAAAAUCUGGAGUAUUUUUAAAAAAUUGAAAAGACAUUAAAAAUUGAUGAUAAUAUUUAAUAAUAAAUAUAAUAUCAAGAAUUAAAUAAAUUUUCGAAAUGUUUUCACUGCAGACUGAUGUGAUGAUGAUCGAAUUUUUAAGUACAUUGAAGCAGAAAAUGCCAAAAUUAGAAAAAUUGGAAAAUUUAAAUUGUCCAGAAUGUUCAGGACCUCCACCUCUAUUUCGAGUACCACCGCCACCACGGCCUCCUUUUUUAACAGAAGCUUCAAUUUGUUCAGAAGCACCUUUGGCAGAACUUGAAGACUGUAUUGCUAUGCCAAUGAUUGAUGCAUCCUACCAUGCCAAUCCUUCUUUGCAAAAUACAGCGCUAAUCAUAGCAUGUACUGUCAUUUUAUUGCUCAUGGCAGCAAUAGUUUCAGUUGUGUUUUGGAAACAUAAAAGGAAAGUCCAAAAUCUCCUCCCUUGCAAGAGUGCAGUGGCUGUAACUGCAACCACAAAUCAAACUAGAGUUUUGCCAAAUGGUCAAACCUUAACAAGCUCUAGUAAUAUUACUGGAAACACACGACUGUACGAAGAUUUAAUAGAAAAUAUGCCACGCUCUCAAAUUCACAAUCAUUUGACAAUCCAACCCAGGAUCCAACCCACGAUUGAGAUGAUUGAUGUCAAUAAGGAGAAGAGCAUCGAUCGAGGAAGUUUUACUUGUAGCAGUCCUGGACCAGAUCUGUAUGGAUCACAAGAUCUUUACAAUCCAGUUUAUGAAGAAUUAUGUAAUGGUGACAAUCAUUUGAAUACUGAUGACGAAGGAGAAGUAAAUCCUCAAAAGUAUUCACACCAUCAUCGAUUAUCGAUUAAUUUAAAAUCAGGAAGUGAAGAUGAAUUUGCUGAAGAUGAGCUAUCAGUAGGUGAACCUUCAGAAUCAAGAAUGCUUACAUUGUCUAUAACACCAAGAUCGUGGGGUACAUGUCCUAAUGUAACCAAUAAAUCAUCAAGAGAUCGCAGAGGUAGAAGUCCAAGGAGCUUAGAUGAACGAAAAAACAAUAAAAGUCACGAUGUUGGUGAGUUCCAUGAAGGAAUGCUCCUAGAUGCUCUACUUCACUUUUAUCCUAAUGUUGCAGGUAUUGUUGGAUCAAAGAAUAAUUCAAAUGCCAAUGAAGCAAGCAAAUCCGCAACAACAUUAGCUCAUAAACUGCCAUAUUUUUUGCCAUCUGCUCCAACUAUGCAAUCAAUUCACAAAGAUGAUGAAAAUCCAUAUGAAAGUGUUCCAGUUUUAGGUCCUUUACACCAUUAUUCAAGUCACACUAAAACAAAUAGAGAAAAACAUCACAAAAUGUCAACAAUGGACCAUUACGAUAAAUAUCCUCAUUACGGUUCCAAAUAUUUUGGAUUUAAUUCAGACAAUAUGGCUCCUAUUUAUACUCAAGUUGGAAGUGAUUAUUCAGAAACAUAUUCUCAAACAAUUGAUAAAUUAUCUUACAAUGAUAAUAGAUACGCACAACCUGUUUAUUUCAUGUCAAAAGAUCCUUCAUCUCGUGGGCUUUAUCAAAGUCAACCUGACAGUAGUUUUGGAAGUGACAGCGGUUAUAGUCAUAAUACGUCUAGUGGUGCAACCACAUAUACCAAUGGUAUACGAAGCAGUACCACACGAGCAAAUCAUCGUAAAGACAAACAUCGAAAUUCAGACCAUUCUCAUCAUUCAGCUGAUUUUAUAUUUUCGCAAUAAGCAAACACAAUAUUAUACGUCACGUCAAAAACAUUAAAAAAAAAGUACUAUCUCUUAGAUUUAUAUAACGUGGAAAGUUUAUUGAUUCUAGUAAUCAUCAAAAAUGAUUUAUUUACUGAUUAUAAUUUCAGUACUAGUCAUUAUGAAUAAAAAUUAGGUAUUUGACACAGCAAGUAGAUUUAAGGAAUUUUUAAUAAGUAUUAUAUUAACAUAAUCUCCCUAAAGUAGUAUUAUUCUUCUUUCUUAUUCGAAAAAUAGUAAACGUACUUUAUCACACAUAUUGCAAGCUUAGUGAUCAGUGGAAGUUGAUGUUACUUCUUUAUGAAUAUUAAUGUUGUGUAAUUAGUAUAUAAAGUUCGGAAAUUCAUAGGAUUUGUUGUACUCAUUGUUAGGUAGUUUAAUAUGUCAGUUUCUUUAUCAAGAAUCCGAUGUUAUUUCAAUUAUAAAUAUUAUCAUGCAGAUCAUUAACUCAAAGACUACAUUAGCACCAUGGCAUCAUUAAGAUUGCUAAAUUUAAUUAUAAUAACUUAUACAGUUAGCCACGAUAAUAAAGUAAUUAAAGUGAAAUUUAAGUCUAUCUUACUUGCACAGGCCUUCAGGAAUGUGCCCUAUUCUUAUAAUACAAUGCUUAUAAAGCUUGCUUCUAACAACGAGUAGAGUUUAACUCACCUUUUUUACGCUACCAAGACUUUAUUUCAAUCAGAUUAGUCAUUUUGAUGUCAAUACCGACAGAUAUGUACAUCUUUUUAUAAUUUUACUGUAGAUAAGACUGAGUAUUAUUAUUAUUAUUAAUAAUGAAAUAUCCUACUGAUUUUAGUUUUAGUUUUAUUUAUGUAAAAUAUAUUAUCAGACUGAAUCUAUAAUAAAUGUAUAUCAUGUGUAUUCUUUCAACACAACAAGAAGAAAACUAAUAAAUUUAUAUAACUGUAUUGUAUUGAGACUUUGAAAAAAUUCGAUGAGGUUAGAAACUACUUGAUAUAUAUACACUAAUUUUUUUGCAAGUGGCUUGAAUUCCUGUUGCCAUUGUUCAAACGCUACUGAAGCAGAUGGUAUUUAUAUAUUGUUCAGAUGAAGAAGAAUGUUGAUAUAAUUUUUUUCGAGAGAAUCCUCAAUGUAAUAGGUUCAGGAGAUAUAUCAGAUUGCACAUUAUUAGAAAGUAUUGCAGCAUGGGUAUGCCGAACAGUUGAACGACAUCCAUGAGGAGCCUGUUGAGCAACAAAAUCUCUUCUUAUUAUAUUAGGCUCUUUCAGAGAUGCAUGAAUUAAUCUCCCUGCAGGAUCAUCGGUUGACAAGUGACAGUAGUGUAGAAGAUUUUGCCAGAUGCGUGCGAAUCGAAAUGUAUGCACCCAUGGUCGUGUAAAAAAUCUGAAGCAAAUAAAUCAAAAGAAAGAUAAAUCAAUACAUCAAAUAAAAAA